UGGGGGGACUUGGGACCCCGAACUUCAGGGGCUGUUUUUUGGGCGCGGCUGUGCCCGUGGCCUAUUUUUGGCACACGGAGGCCGCCCGGCAAGUCUGGUGCCAUUCCGAGUCCCGCGGACGAACUUCGCCCACGCCCCCCGCCAAGGCUAUAGCCCACCCGUUUUUUGGCCAUUUUUCCGGUGGGGGGUCUUUGGACCCCGACCUUCGGGGGCUGUUUUUUGGGCGCGGCUGUGCCCGUGGCCUAUUUUUGGCACACGGAGGCCGCCCGGCAAGUCUGGUGCCAUUCCGAGGCCCGCGGACGAACUUCGCCCACGCCCCCCACCAAGGCUAUAGCCCACCCGUUUUUUGGUCAUUUUUCCGCUGGGGGGUCUUGGGACCCCGACCUUCGGGGGCUGGUUUUUGGGCGCGGCUGUGCCCGUGGCCUAUUUUUGGCACACGGAGGCCGUCCGCCAAGUCUGGAGCCAUUCCGAGUCCCGCGGACGAACUUCGCCCACGCCCCCCCCCAAGGCUAUAGCCCACUCGUUUUUUGGCUAUUUUUCCGCUGGGGGGUCUUGGGACCCCGACCUUCGGGGGCUGUUUUUUGGGCGCGGCUGUGCCCGUGGCCUAUUUUUGGCACACGGAGGCCGCCCGCCAAGUCUGGUGCCCUUCCGAGUCCCGCGGACGAACUUCGCCCACGCCCCCCACCAAGGCUAUAGCCCACCCGUUUUUUGGCCAUUUUUCCGCUGGGGGGUCUUGGGACCCCGACCUUCGGGGGCUGCUUUUUGGCGCGGCUGUGCCCGUGGCCUAUUUUUGGCACACGGAGGCCGCCCGCCAAGUCUGGUGCCAUUCCGAGUCCCGCGGACGAACUUCGCCCACGCCCCCCACCAAGGAUAUAGCCCACCCGUUUUUUGGCCAUUUUUCCGCUGGGGGGUCUUGGGACCCCGNNNNNNNNNNNNNNNNNNNNNNNNNNNNNNNNNNNNNNNNNNNNNNNNNNNNNNNNNNNNNNNNNNNNNNNNNNNNNNNNNNNNNNNNNNNNNNNNNNNNNNNNNNNNNNNNNNNNNNNNNNNNNNNNNNNNNNNNNNNNNNNNNNNNNNNNNNNNNNNNNNNNNNNNNNNNNNNNNNNNNNNNNNNNNNNNNNNNNNNNNNNNNNNNNNNNNNNNNNNNNNNNNNNNNNNNNNNNNNNNNNNNNNNNNNNNNNNNNNNNNNNNNNNNNNNNNNNNNNNNNNNNNNNNNNNNNNNNNNNACGCCCCCCCACCAAGGGCUAUAGCCCACCCGUUUUUUGGCCAUUUUUCCGCUGGGGGGUCUUGGGACCCCGACCUUCGGGAGCUGGUUUUUGGGCGCGGCUGUGCCCGUGGCCUAUUUUUGGCACACGGAGGCCGCCCGCCAAGUCUGGUGCCAUUCCGAGUCCCGCGGACGAACUUCGCCCACGCCCCCCACCAAGGCUAUAGCCCACCCGUUUUUUGGCCAUUUUUCCGCUGGGGGGUCUUGGGACCCCGACCUUCGGGGGCUGGUUUUUGGACGCGGCUGUGCCCGUGGCCUAUUUUUGGCACACGGAGGCCGCCCGCCAAGUCUGGGGCCAUUCCGAGUCCCACGGACGAACUUCGCCCACGCCCCCCACCAAGGCUAUAGCCCACCCGUUUUUUGGCCAUUUUUCCGCUGGGGGGUCUUGGGACCCCGACCUUCGGGAGCUGGUUUUUGGGCGCGUCUGUGCCCGUGGCCUAUUUUGGGCACACGGAGGCCGCCCGCCAAGUCUGGUGCCAUUCCGAGUCCCGCGGACGAACUUCGCCCACGCCCCCCACCAAGGCUAUAGCCCACCCGUUUUUUGGCAUUUUUCCGCUGGGGGGUCUUGGGACCCCGACCUUCGGGUGCUGUAUUUUGGGCGCGGCUGUGCCCGCGGCGUAUUUUUGGCACACGGAGGCGGCCUGCCAAGUCUGGUGCCAUUCCGAGUCCCGCGGACGAACUUCGCCCACGCCCCCCACCAAGGCUAUAGCCCACCCGUUUUUUGGCAUUUUUCCGCUGGGGGGUCUUGGGACCCCGACCUUCGGGUGCUGUAUUUUGGGCGCGGCUGUGCCCGCGGCGUAUUUUUGGCACACGGAGGCGGCCUGCCAAGUCUGGUGCCAUUCCGAGUCCCGCGGACGAACUUCGCCCACGCCCCCCACCAAGGCUAUAGCCCACCCGUUUUUUGGCAUUUUUCCGCUGGGGGGUCUUGGGACCCCGACCUUCGGGGGCUGGUUUUUUGGCGCGGCUGUGCCCGUGGCCUAUUUUUGGCACACGGAGGCCGCCCGCCAAGUCUGGUGCCAUUCCGAGUCCCGCGGACGAACUUCGCCCACGCCCCCCACCAAGGCUAUAGCCCACCCGUUUUUUGGCCAUUUUUCCGCUGGGGGGUCUUGGGACCCCGAACUUCGGGGGCUGUUUUUUUGGCGCGGCUGUGCCCGUGGCCUAUUUUUGGCACACGGCGGCCGCCCGCCAAGUCUGGUGCCAUUCCGAGUCCUGCGGACGAACUUCGCCCACGCCCCCCACCAAGGCUAUAGCCCACCCCGUUUUUUGGACAUUUUUCCGCUGGGGGGUCUUGGGACCCCGACCUUCGGGGGCUGUUUUCUGGGCGCAGCUGUGCUCGUGGCCUAUUUUUGGCACACGGAGGCCGCCCGCCAAUUGUGGUGCCAUUCCGAGUCCCGCGGAACGAACUUCGCCCACGCCCCCCACCAAGGCUAUAGCCCACCCGUUUUUUGGCCAUUUUUCCGCUGGGGGGUCUUGGGACCCCGACCUUCGGGGGCUGUUUUUUGGGCGCGGCUGUGCCCGUGGCCUAUUUUUGGCACACGGAGGCCGCCCGCCAAGUCUGGUGCCAUUCCGAGUCCCGCGGACGAACUUCGCCCACGCCCCCCACCAAGGCUAUAGCCCACCCGUUUUUUGGCCAUUUUUCCGCUGGGGGGUCUUGGGACCCCGACCUUCGGUGGCUGGUUUUUGGGCGCGGCUGUGCCCGUGGCCUAUUUUUGGCACACGGAGGCCGCCCGCCAAGUCUGGUGCCAUUCCGAGUCCCGCGGACGAACUUCGCCCACGCCCCCCACCAAGGCUAUAGCCCACCCGUUUUUUGGCCAUUUUUCCGCUGGGGGGUCUUGGGACCCCGACCUUCGGGGGCUGUUUUUUGGGCGCGGCUGUGCCCGUGGCCUAUUUUUGGCACACGGAGGCCGCCCGCCAAGUCUGGUGCCAUUCCGAGUCCCGCGGACGAACUUCGCCCACGCCCCCCACCAAGGCUAUAGCCCACCCGUUUUUUGGCCAUUUUUCCGCUGGGGGGUCUUGGGACCCCGACCUUCGGGGGCUGUUUUUUGGGCGCGGCUGUGCCCGUGGCCUAUUUUUGGCACACGGAGGCCGCCCGCCAAGUCUGGUGCCAUUCCGAGUCUCGCGGACGAACUUCGCCCACGCCCCCCACCAAGGGUAUAGCCCACCCGUUUUUUGCCCAUUUUUCCGCUGGGGGCUCUUGGGACCCCGACCUUCGGGGGCUGUUUUUUGGGCACGGCUGUGCCCGUGGCCUAUUUUUGGCACACGGAGGCCGCCCGCCAAGUCUGGUGCCAUUCGGAGUCCCGCGGACGAACUUCGCCCACGCCCCCCACCAAGGCUAUAGCCCACCCGUUUUUUGGCCAUUUUUCCGCUGGGGGGUCUUGGGAGCCCGACCUUCGGGGGCUGUUUUUUGGGCGCGGCUGUGCCCCUGGCCUAUUUUUGGCACACGGAGGCCGCCCGCCAAGUCUGGUGCCAUUCCGAGUCCCGCGGACGAACUUCGCCCACGUCCCCCACCAAGGCUAUAGCCCACCCGUUUUUUGGCCAUUUUUCCGCUGGGGGGUCUUGGGACCCCGACCUUCGGGGGCUGUUUUUUGGGCGCGGCUGUGCCCGUGGCCUAUUUUUGGCACACGGAGGCCGCCCGCCAAGUCUGGUGCCAUUCCGAGUCCCGCGGACGAACUUCGCCCACGGCCCCCACCAAGGCUAUAGCCCACCUGUUUUUUGGCCAUUUUUCCGCUGGGGGGUCUUGGGACCCCGAACUUCGAGGGCUGUUUUUUGGGCGCGGCUGUGCCCGUGGCAUAUUUUUGGCACACGGAGGCCGCCCGCCAAGUCUGGUGCCAUUCCGAGUCCCGCGGACGAAUUUCGCCCACGCCCCCCACCAAGGCUAUAGCCCACCUGUUUUUUGGCCAUUUUUCCGCUGGGGGGUCUUGGGACCCCGAACUUCGAGGGCUGUUUUUUGGGCGCGGCUGUGCCCGUGGCAUAUUUUUGGCACACGGAGGCCGCCCGCCAAGUCUGGUGCCAUUCCGAGUCCCGCGGAUGAAUUUCGCCCACGCCCCCCACCAAGGCUAUAGCCCACCCGUUUUUUGGCCAUUUUUCCGCUGGGGGGUCUUGGGACCCCGACCUUCAGGGGCUGUUUUUUGGGCGCGGCUGUGCCCCUGGCCUAUUUUUGGCACACGGAGGCCGCCCGCCAAGUCUGGUGCCAUUCCGAGUCCCGCGGACGAACUUCGCCCACGCCCCCCACCAAGGCUAUAGCCCACCCGUUUUUUGGCCAUUUUUCCGCUGGGGGGUCUUGGGACCCCGACCUUCGGGGGCUGUUUUUUGGGCGCGGCUGUGCCCGUGGCCUAUUUUUGGCACACGGAGGCCGCCCGCCAAGUCUGGUGCCAUUCCGAGUCCCGCGGACGAACUUCGCCCACGGCCCCCACCAAGGCUAUAGCCCACCUGUUUUUUGGCCAUUUUUCCGCUGGGGGGUCUUGGGACCCCGACCUUCGGGGGCUGUUUUUUGGGCGCGGCUGUGCCCGUGGCAUAUUUUUGGCACACGGAGGCCGCCCGCCAAGUCUGGUGCCAUUCCGAGUCCCGCGGACGAACUUCGCCCACGCCCCCCACCAAGGCUAUAGCCCACCCGUUUUUUGGCCAUUUUUCCGCUGGGGGGUCUUGGGACCCCGACCUUCGGGGGCUGUUUUUUGGGCGCGGCUGUGCCCGUGGCCUAUUUUUGGCACACGGAGGCCGCCCGCCAAGUCUGGUGCCAUUCUGAGUCCCGCGGACGAACUUCGCCCACGCCCCCCACCAAGGCUAUAGCCCACCCGUUUUUUGGCCAUUUUUCCGCUGGGGGGUCUUGGGACCCCGACCUUUGGGGGCUGGUUUUUGGGCGCGGCUGUGCCCGUGGCCUAUUUUUGGCACACGGAGGCCGCCCGCCAAGUCUGGUGCCAUUCCGAGUCCCGCGGACGAACUUCGCCCACGCCCCCCACCAAGGCUACAGCCCACCCGUUUUUUGGCCAUUUUUCCGCUGGGGGGUCUUGGGACCCCGACCUUCGGGGGCUGUUUUUUGGGCGCGGCUGUGCCGGUGGCCUAUUUUUGGGACACGGAGGCCGCCCGCCAAGUCUGGUGCCAUUCCGAGUCCCGCGGACGAACUUCGCCCACGCCCCCCACUAAGGCUAUAGCCCACCCGUUUUUUGUCCAUUUUUCCGCUGGGGGGUCUUGGGACCCCGACCUUCGGGGGCUGUUUUUUGGGCGCGGCUGUGCCCGUGGCCUAUUUUUGGCACACGGAGGCCGCCCGCCAAGUCUGGUGCCAUUCCGAGUCCCGCGGACGAACUUCGCCCACGCCCCCCACCAAGGCUAUAGCCCACCCGUUUUUGGGCCAUUUUUCCGCUGGGGGGUCUUCGGACCCCGACCUUCGGGGGCUGGUUUUUGGGCGCGGCUGUGCCCGUGGCCUAUUUUUGGCACACGGAGGCCGCCCGCCAAGUCUGGUGCCAUUCCGAGUCCCGCGGACGAACUUCGCCCACGGCCCCCACCAAGGCUAUAGCCCACCCGUUUUUUGGCCAUUUUUCCGCUGGGGGGUCUUGGGACCCCGACCUUCGGGAGCUGUUUUUUGGGCGCGGCUGUGCCCGUGGCCUAUUUUUGGCACACGGAGGCCGCCCGCCAAGUCUGGUGCCAUUCCGAGUCCCGCGGACGAACUUCGCCCACGGCCCCCACCAAGGCUAUAGCCAACCCGUUUUUUGGCCAUUUUUCCGCUGGGGGGUCUUGGGACCCCGACCUUCGGGGGCUGUUUUUUGGGCGCGGCUGUGCCCGUGGCCUAUUUUUGGCACACGGAGGCCGCCCGCCAAGUCUGGUGCCAUUCCGAGUCCCGCGGACGAACUUCGCCCACGCCCCCCACCAAGGCUAUAGCCCACCCGUUUUUUGGCCAUUUUUCCGCUGGGGGGUCUUGGGACCCCGACCUUCGGGGGCUGUUUUUUGGGCGCGGCUGUGCCCGUGGCCUAUUUUUGGCACACGGAGGCCGCCCGCCACGUCUGGUGCCAUUCCGAGUCCCGCGGACGAACUUCGCCCACGGCCCCGACCAAGGCUAUAGCCCACCCGUUUUUUGGCCAUUUUUCCGCUGGGGGGUCUUGGGACCCCGACCUUCGGGGGCUGUUUUUUGGGCGCGGCUGUGCCCGUGGCCUAUUUUUGGCACACGGAGGCCGCCCGCCAAGUCUGGUGCCAUUCCGAGUCCCGCGGACGAACUUCGCCCACGCCCCCCACCAAGGCUAUAGCCCACCCGUUUUUUGGCCAUUUUUCCGCUGGGGGGUCUUGGGACCCCGACCUUCGGGGGCUGUUUUUUGGGCGCGGCUGUGCCCGUGGCCUAUUUUUGGCACACGGAGGCCGCCAGCCAAGUCUGGUGCCAUUCCGAGUCCCGCGGACGAACUUCGCCCACGCCCCCCACCAAGGCUAUAGCCCACCCGUUUUUUGGCCAUUUUUCCGCUGGGGGGUCUUGGGUCCCCGACCUUCGGGGGCUGGUUUUUCGGCGCGGCUGUGCCCGUGGCCUAUUUUCGGCACACGGAGGCCGCCCGCCAAGUCUGGAGCCAUUCCGAGUCCCGCGGACGAACUUCGCCCACGGCCCCCACCAAGGCUAUAGCCCACCCGUUUUUUGGCCAUUUUUCCGCUGGGGGGUCUUGGGACCCUGACCUUCGGGGGCUGGUUUUUGGGCGCGGCUGUGCCCGUGGCCUAUUUUUGGCACACGGAGGCCGCCCGCCAAGUCUGUUGCCAUUCCGAGUCCCGCGGACGAACUUCGCCCACGCCCCCCACCAAGGCUAUAGCCCACCCGUUUUUUGGCCAUUUUUCCGCUGGGGGGUCUUGGGACCCCGACCUUCGGGGACUGGUUUUUCGGGGCGGCUGUGCCCGUGGCCUAUUUUUGGCAAACGAAGGCCGCCCGCCAAGUCUGGUGCCAUUCCGAGUCCCGCGGACGAACUUCGCCCACGCCCCCCACCAAGGCUAUAGCCCACCCGUUUUUGGGCCAUUUUUCCGCUGGGGGGUCUUGGGACCCCGACCUUCGGGGGCUGUUUUUUGGGCGCGGCUGUGCCCGUGGCCUAUUUUUGGCACACGGAGGCCGCCCGCCAAGUCUGGUGCCAUUCCGAGUCCCGCGGACGAACUUCGCCCACGGCCCCCACCAAGGCUAUAGCCCACCCGUUUUUUGGCCAUUUUUCCGCUGGGGGGUCUUGGGACCCCGACCUUCGGGGGCUGUUUUUUGGGCGCGGCUGUGCCCGUGGCCUAUUUUUGGCACACGGAGGCCGCCCGCCAAGUCUGGUGCCAUUCCGAGUCCCGCGGACGAACUUCGCCCACGCCCCCCACCAAGGCUAUAGCCCACCCGUUUUUUGGCCAUUUUUCCGCUGGGGGGUCUUGGGACCCCGACCUUCGGGGGCUGUUUUUUGGGCGCGGCUGUGCCCGUGGCCUAUUUUUGGCACACGGAGGCCGCCCGCCAAGUCUGGUGCCAUUCCGAGUCCCGCGGACGAACUUCGCCCACGCCCCCCACCAAGGCUAUAGCCCACCCGUUUUUUGGCCAUUUUUCCGCUGGGGGGUCUUGGGACCCCGACCUUCGGGGGCUGGUUUUUGGGCGCGGCUGUGCCCGUGGCCUAUUUUUGGCACACGGAGGCCGCCCGCCAAGUCUGACGCCAUUCCGAGUCCCGCGGACGAACUUCGCCCACGCCCCCCACCAAGGCUAUAGCCCACCCGUUUUUUGGCCAUUUUUCCGCUGGGGGGUCUUGGGACCCCGAACUUCGGGGGCUGUUUUUUGGGCGCGGCUGUGCCCGUGGCCUAUUUUUUGCACACGGAGGCCGCCCGCCAAGUCUGGUGCUAUUCCGAGUCCCGCGGACGAACUUCUCCCACGCCCCCCACCAAGGCUAUAGCCCACCCGUUUUUUGGCCAUUUNNNNNNNNNNNNNNNNNNNNNNNNNNNNNNNNNNNNNNNNNNNNNNNNNNNNNNNNNNNNNNNNNNNNNNNNNNNNNNNNNNNNNNNNNNNNNNNNNNNNNNNNNNNNNNNNNNNNNNNNNNNGACGAACUUCGCCCACGGCCCCCACCAAGGCUAUAGCCCACCCGUUUUUUGGCCAUUUUUCCGCUGGGGGGUCUUGGGACCCUGACCUUCGGGGGCUGGUUUUUGGGCGCGGCUGUGCCCGUGGCCUAUUUUUGGCACACGGAGGCCGCCCGCCAAGUCUGGUGCCAUUCCGAGUCCCGCGGACGAACUUCGCCCACGCCCCCCACCAAGGCUAUAGCCCACCCGUUUUUUGGCCAUUUUUCCGCUGGGGGGUCUUGGGACCCCAACCUUCGGGGACUGGUUUUUCGGGGCGGCUGUGCCCGUGGCCUAUUUUUGGCAAACGAAGGCCGCCCGCCAAGUCUGGUGCCAUUCCGAGUCCCGCGGACGAACUUCGCCCACGCCCCCCACCAAGGCUAUAGCCCACCCGUUUUUUGGCCAUUUUUCCGCUGGGGGGUCUUCGGACCCCGAACUUCGGGGGCUGGUUUUUCGGCGCGGCUGUGCCCGUGGCCUAUCUUUGGCACACGGAGGCCGCCCGCCAAGUCUGGUGCCAUUCCGAGUCCCGCGGACGAACUUCGCCCACGCCCCCCACCAACGCUGUAGCCCACCCGUUUUUUGGCCAUUUUUCCGCUGGGGGGUCUUGGGACCCCGAACUUCGGGGGCUGUUUUUUGGGCGCGGCUGUGCCCGUGGCCUAUUUUUUGCACACGGAGGCCGCCCGCCAAGUCUGGUGCUAUUCCGAGUCCCGCGGACGAACUUCUCCCACGCCCCCCACCAAGGCUAUAGCCCACCCGUUUUUUGGCCAUUUUUCCGCAGGGGGGUCUUGGGUCCCCGACCUUCGGGGGCUAGUUUUUGGGCGCGGCUGUGCCCGUGGCCUAUUUUUGGCACACGGAGGGCGCCCGCCAAGUCUGGUGCCAUUCCGAGUCCCGCGGACGAACUUCGCCCACGCCCCCCACCAACGCUGUAGCCGACCCGUUUUUUGGCCAUUUUUCCGCUGGGGGUCUUGGGACCCCGACCUUCGGGGGUUGGUUUUUGGGCGCGGCUGUGCCCGUGGCCUAUUUUUGGCACGCGGAGGCCGCCCGCCAAGUCUGGUGCCAUUCCGAGUCCCGCGGACGAACUUCGCCCACGCCCCCCACCAAGGCUAUAGCCCACCCGUUUUUUGGCCAUUU
rnacentral:lncRNA from 1 species